UNUUAAAAGUUCGGGGCUUAACCCCGUGAUGGGAUGGAAACUGCUGAUCUAGAGUNUCGGAGAGGAAAGUGGAAUUCCUAGUGUAGCGGUGAAAUGCGUAGAUAUUAGGAAGAACACCNGUGGCGAAGGCGACUUUCUGGACGAACACUGACGCUGAGGCGCGAAAGCCAGGNGAGCGAACGGGAUUAGAUACCCCGGUAGUCCUGGCCGUAAACGAUGGGUACUAGGUGUAGGAGGUAUCGACCCCUUCUGUGCCGGAGUUAACGCAAUAAGUACCCCGCCUGGGGAGUACGACCGCAAGGUUGAAACUCAAAGGAAUUGACGGGGGCCCGCACAAGCGGUGGAGUAUGUGGUUUAAUUCGACGCAACGCGAAGAACCUUACCAGGUCUUGACAUUGAUGGACAGAACCAGAGAUGGUUCCUCUUCUUCGGAAGCCAGAAAACAGGUGGUGCACGGUUGUCGUCAGCUCGUGUCGUGAGAUGUUGGGUUAAGUCCCGCAACGAGCGCGACCCCUAUCUUAUGUUGCCAGCACUUUGGGUGGGAACUCAUGAGAGACUGCCGCAGACAAUGCGGAGGAAGGCGGGGAUGACGUCAAAUCAUCAUGCCCCUUAUGACCUGGGCUACACACGUACUACAAUGGGAGUUAAUAGACGGAAGCGAGAUCGCGAGAUGGAGCAAACCCGAGAAACACUCUCUCAGUUCGGAUCGUAGGCUGCAGCUCGCCUACGUGAAGUCGGAAUCGCUAGUAAUCGCAGGUCAGCAUACUGCGGUGAAUACGUUCCCGGGCCUUGUACACACCGCCCGUCACACCGCGAAAGUCGGAAGUGCCCAAAGCCGGUGGGGUANCCUUCGGGAGCCA
rnacentral:rRNA from 1 species